AGAGUUUGAUCCUGGCUCAGAACGAACGCUGGUGGCGUGCCUAAUACAUGCAAGUCGAACGCGAAAGUCCGCAAGGAUGAGUAAAGUGGCGCACGGGUGAGUAACACGUAGGUGACCUGGCCUUUUGUUGGGGAUAACAGUCGGAAACGACUGCUAAUACCGAAUAAGUUGUGAGUGAUUAGAAGACUUACAAGAAAGUUGGCCUCUAUUUAUAAGCCAACGCGGAAGGAUGGGCCUGCGGAACAUUAGCUAGUUGGUGGGGUAAUGGCCUACCAAGGCGACGAUGUUUAACUGGUCUGAGAGGAUGAUCAGUCACACUGGAACUGAGACACGGUCCAGACUCCUACGGGAGGCAGCAGUAGGGAAUAUUGCGCAAUGGGGGAAACCCUGACGCAGCAACGCCACGUGAGUGGGGAAGGCCUUCGGGUUGUAAAGCUCUGUCAUUAGGGAAAAACGCCGGUGAGGAUAAUAGUCUCAUCGAUUGAUGGUACCUAAGGAGGAAGCACCGGCUAACUUCGUGCCAGCAGCCGCGGUAAUACGAAGGGUGCAAGCGUUGUUCGGAAUUAUUGGGCGUAAAGAGUGAUAAGGCGGAUCUCCAAGUCAGGUGUGAAAUCUCGGGGCUUAACCCCGAAAGUGCGCCUGAAACUAGAGAUCUGGAGUAAUGUAGGGGAGAGGGGAAUUUCACGUGUAGGGGUAAAAUCCGUAGAGAUGUGAAGGAACACCAGAGGCGAAGGCGCCUCUCUGGGCAUUUACUGACGCUGAUUCACGAAAGCGUGGGGAGCAAACAGGAUUAGAUACCCUGGUAGUCCACGCCGUAAACGAUGAACACUAGUUUUUGGAGGUAUUGACCCCUCCAGGAACGCAGCUAACGCGUUAAGUGUUCCGCCUGGGAAGUACGGCCGCAAGGCUAAAACUCAAAGGAAUUGACGGGGGCCCGCACAAGCGGUGGAUUAUGUGGUUUAAUUCGAAGCAACGCGCAAAACCUUACCUGGGCUUGAACUCCUCGGAAUCCGACGUAACGGUUGGAGUGCCCGCAAGGGAAUCGAGAGAGAGGUGCUGCAUGGCUGUCGUCAGCUCGUGUUGUGAAAUGUUGGGUUAAGUCUCGCAACGAGCGCAACCCCUAUCUUUAGUUGCCAGCAUUAAGUUGGGCACUCUAGAGAGACUGCCUGGGUUAACCAGGAGGAAGGCGGGGAUGACGUCAAGUCCUCAUGGCCCUUAUGUCCAGGGCCACACACGUAAUACAAUGGUACGAACAAAGGGAAGCGAACUCGCGAGGGGGAGCAAAUCUCAAAAAACGUAUCUCAGUCCGGAUUGAAGUCUGCAACUCGACUUCAUGAAGUUGGAAUCGCUAGUAAUCGCGGAUCAGAACGCCGCGGUGAAUACGUUCCCGGGCCUUGUACACACCGCCCGUCACACCAUGGGAGUUGGUUCAAUCUUAAGACGUGACUCUAACCGCAAGGGGGAGAGCGUCUACGGUGGGGCCGAUGACUGGGGUGAAGUCGUAACAAGGUAGCCGUA
rnacentral:rRNA from 1 species